CACUCCUACGGGAGGCAGCAGUGGGGAAUAUUGCACAAUGGGCGCAAGCCUGAUGCAGCCAUGCCGCGUGUGUGAAGAAGGCCUUCGGGUUGUAAAGCACUUUCAGCGGGGAGGAAGGCGAUACGGUUAAUAACCGUGUUGAUUGACGUUACCCGCAGAAGAAGCACCGGCUAACUCCGUGCCAGCAGCCGCGGUAAUACGGAGGGUGCAAGCGUUAAUCGGAAUUACUGGGCGUAAAGCGCACGCAGGCGGUCUGUCAAGUCGGAUGUGAAAUCCCCGGGCUCAACCUGGGAACUGCAUUCGAAACUGGCAGGCUUGAGUCUUGUAGAGGGGGGUAGAAUUCCAGGUGUAGCGGUGAAAUGCGUAGAGAUCUGGAGGAAUACCGGUGGCGAAGGCGGCCCCCUGGACAAAGACUGACGCUCAGGUGCGAAAGCGUGGGGAGCAAACAGGAUUAGAAACCCUUGUAGUCCC
rnacentral:rRNA from 1 species